rnacentral:rRNA from 1 species
UACGAAGGGGGCUAGCGUUGCUCGGAAUUACUGGGCGUAAAGGGUGCGUAGGCGGGUCUUUUAAGUCAGAGGUGAAAUCCUGGAGCUCAACUCCAGAACUGCCUUUGAUACUGAGGAUCUUGAGUUCGGGAGAGGUGAGUGGAACUGCGAGUGUAGAGGUGAAAUUCGUAGAUAUUCGCAAGAACACCAGUGGCGAAGGCGGACUCACUGGCCCGAUAACUGACGCUGAGGCACGAAA